rnacentral:rRNA from 1 species
AGAGUUUGAUCAUGGCUCAGGACGAACGCUGGCGGCAGGCCUAACACAUGCAAGUCGAGCGCCCCGCAAGGGGAGCGGCAGACGGGAGAGUAACACGUGGGAACGUGCCCUUCAGUUCGGAACAACCCAGGGAAACUUGAGCUAAUACCGGAUAAGUCCGUAAGGAGAAAGAUUUAUCGCCGAAGGAUCGGCCCGCGUCC